rnacentral:rRNA from 1 species
GAGGGAAUCUUCGGCAAUGGGGGGAACCCUGACCGAGCAACGCCGCCUGAGUGAAGAAGGUUUUCGGAUCGUAAAGCUCUGUUGUUAAGGAAGAACGAGUGUGAGAAUGGAAAGUUCAUACUGUGACGGUACUUAACCAGAAAGGGACGGCUAACUACGUGCCAGCAGCCGCUGUAAUACGUAGGUCCCGAGCGUUGUCCGGAUUUAUUGGGCGUAAAGCGAGCGCAGGCGGUUAGAUAAGUCUGAAGUUAAAGGCAGUGGCUCAACCAUUGUAGGCUUUGGAAACUGUUUAACUUGAGUGCAGAAGGGGGUGGUGGAAUUCCAGGUUUAGCGGGGAAAUGCGUAGAUAUAUGGAGGAACACCGGUGGCGAAAGCGGCUCUCUGGUCUGUAACUGACGCUGAGGCUCGAAAGCGUGGGGAGCGAACAGG